CGGAGGGAUCAUUACCGAGUUUACAACUCCCAAACCCCUGUGAACAUACCACUUGUUGCCUCGGCGGAUCAGCCCGCUCCCGGUAAAACGGGACGGCCCGCCAGAGGACCCCUAAACUCUGUUUCUAUAUGUAACUUCUGAGUAAAACCAUAAAUAAAUCAAAACUUUCAACAACGGAUCUCUUGGUUCUGGCAUCGAUGAAGAACGCAGCAAAAUGCGAUAAGUAAUGUGAAUUGCAGAAUUCAGUGAAUCAUCGAAUCUUUGAACGCACAUUGCGCCCGCCAGUAUUCUGGCGGGCAUGCCUGUUCGAGCGUCAUUUCAACCCUCAAGCACAGCUUGGUGUUGGGACUCGCGUUAAUUCGCGUUCCUCAAAUUGAUUGGCGGUCACGUCGAGCUUCCAUAGCGUAGUAGUAAAACCCUCGUUACUGGUAAUCGUCGCGGCCACGCCGUUAAACCCCAACUUCUGAAUGUUGACCUCGGAUCAGGUAGGAAUACCCGCUGAACUU
rnacentral:rRNA from 1 species